GAGGAAAUCAGACAGAAAGAGAAAACAAUCCUGACGGUGGUAAUCCAGAUCCCAGGGGUGAAGCGACGGCUGGAUCUGCCCCAGAGGAAGGGCUGGGGAUUACAGGAGAGACGACACCAGAGAAUAUCCACCCAUUACUGGGAACCAGCCAGCAGGUGGUGGAGAUUUAUCCAAAGAGUCCACGGAGGAGGUGUUGAGAGGCCCACAUCGCAGGAGGAGAGACUGGAAUACAUAAAGAGAUGAAACUACACACCUCAUGAUGCAGAAACCACGACAUGUCGAGGAUAAACCGCCGAAUGAGACCAUCUCUGAGACCCGUCCCAUAUGGACACACAGAUG
ensembl:lncRNA